rnacentral:rRNA from 1 species
CGAACGUUAGCGGCGCGCCUAACACAUGCAAGUCGAGCGAGAAGGGGGGCAACCCCUGUAAAGCGGCGCACGGGUGAGUAACACGUAGGUAAUCUACCUCGAGGUGGUGGAUAACCUUCCGAAAGGAGGGCUAAUACAGCAUGGGACCACGUCUUCGAAAGAGGAUGAGGUAAAAGCGGGCCUCUAUACAUAAGCUCGCGCCACGAGAUGAGCCUGCGGCCCAUCAUGGUAGUUGGUAGGGUAACGGCCUACCAAGCCGAAGACGGGUAGCUGGUCUGAGAGGAUGAUCAGCCACACUGGAACUGAGACACGGUCCAGACUCCUACGGGAGGCAGCAGUGGGGAAUCUUGCGCAAUGGCGAAAGCCUGACGCAGCGACGCCGCGUGAGUGAUGAAGGCCU